rnacentral:rRNA from 1 species
UACGAAGGGGGCUAGCGUUGCUCGGAAUCACUGGGCGUAAAGCGCACGUAGGCGGAUCUUUAAGUCGGGGGUGAAAUCCUGGAGCUCAACUCCAGAACUGCCUUCGAUACUGAGGAUCUUGAGUCCGGGAGAGGUGAGUGGAACUGCGAGUGUAGAGGUGAAAUUCGUAGAUAUUCGCAAGAACACCAGUGGCGAAGGCGGCUCACUGGCCCGGUACUGACGCUGAGGUGCGAAAGCGUGGGGAGCAAACAGG